GUGUAGCUCAGUCGGUAGAGCGACGCACUCGUAAUGCGUAGGUCGCCGGUUCGAGUCCGGCCUCC
rnacentral:tRNA from 1 species